UGGGGAAUCUUGCACAAUGGGGGCAACCCUGAUGCAGCGACGCCGCGUGAGCGAUGAAGCCCUUCGGGGCGUAAAGCUCUUUCGACCGGAACGAUAAUGACGGUACCGGGAGAAGAAGCUGCGGCUAACUACGUGCCAGCAGCCGCGGUAAUACGUAGGCAGCAAGCGUUGUUCGGAGUUACUGGGCGUAAAGAGUGCGUAGGCGGUUUUCUAAGUUCGGUGUGAAAUCUCCCGGCUUAACUGGGAGGGUGCGCCGAAGACUGGGAAGCUGGAGUGUUGGAAAGGCAGGCGGAAUUCCUGGUGUAGCGGUGAAAUGCGUAGAUAUCAGGAGGAACACCGGCGGUGUAGACGGCUUGCUAGACCAUAACUGACGCUGAGGCACGAAAGCGUGGGUAGCAAACA
rnacentral:rRNA from 1 species